AAUGACUGUGAUUGCACUUUAUUAUUCUGAUGUGAGACGCUUUUGCAACAUUAUUGCGCUCUCGUGCUCUUAACGUGCAUGGGGUGGUCACGUGGUAGCACAUGGGUUUUAUCUGCUAGCUAUUGUAUGCUAAUGCUAUUCUUUUUGAAUCUUGUUUUAUAGAUGGCAAAUGAUUGCAACACCUAUUGCACAGGUAAUCACCCUUUAAGAUGCCUCUUGCAUUAUUGUUAAGCAUUUUGAUGUCAUUGAAAUAGCAUGACAUGUGUGGAGCCUCAUGUUACAGUGAUGUCUCACUUGAACUCUCUCACUGAAUUAAUCUCUUGUGGAAACUUAACCUCUUAAACUCUGAGUAGCAUGAAGGUGGCACAGAGAGAGCACAUAAGUAUUAUCUUUAAAAUUUUAUUAAAUGCUUAAUUUGUUUUUAGGUGUGGCCGAUGGGAUGAUACUUCCUACUUAAGGUAAUACUUUUUUUUUAACUUAAGUAGGUUUGCUGCAACUUCACUGUUCCUAGCUCUUCAGGAGCUCAGGGUGCUGCAGUGAUGAAUCACUGAACUCUCUCUUACCGAAUCAGCCUUUGAAGAAAAUACUUUACCAGAUUCUGAGUAGCAUAUGGGCUCAAACUAAUUUAGUUCCUGGUUACAAAGGGCAUUUCUGUUUGGUUCUAAUCUUACUGUUUUUCAACAGAUGUUUGGUCAUCUCUAAAGAUGCACAAGUCUCAUCACUGAAGAUCAUUGGCAGGUCUGCCUUGUCCUCAUGGCUCCAUGGAGUGCCUUUUAAUGGACUAUGGUGGACGUCCCAGAAAAGGUUCAGGAGAGCAGUGCCUCAUUAACAUUAUGUGCUGAAAGAAUACUUGGGUCAAAGCAUGCCGAAGGUCCUGUGAUGAUUCUUGGACUGAAGGAAUGA
rnacentral:lncRNA from 1 species